GAUCUAUUUGAUUCUUUCUUUGCCAUUGGAGUGCUCAUGGAUUCCACCAGGAGCAUUGGGAAGGAAAAUACCUAGUCAAGUAAAGAGCAGUAGGAUAUUUUGCUUACAGCUGCACAUCUGUUGGACAUAGUGUGUCAUUCUCAGUGAAACUGAUCGUCAGAAGUCUUCUAAUAAAUGACAUAGAAAAUUCUCCAACAGAAAGAAAGGAGAGGCACAUAGAGGCACCUGGGUGGUUCAGUCAGUUAAGCAUCUGACUCUUGAUUUCGGCUCACACCAUGAUCACACAGUUGUCAGUUUGCGCCCCAGGUUGGGCUCCAUGCUGGGCGGGUUGCGUGCUGAGCAUGGAGCCUGCUUAAGA